GUUGCCUGGGUGGGAAAUCACCGUGGCGAUCUCGUCGCUGUGACAGUUACGGUAACUGGGUAACGUAAUAGGUUGCUGGGUGGCAGAGGUCUGUAGAACACAUCUGAUACAUGCUAAUUCCUGUCAGCCACAUCCGAUAGCACGGCUAACAUUCACCACGUCGCCGUCCCAGCUGAGGACUGAUAGAGCCAACAUGGCCAGCGUUCACUGCACCAUCGCCCCGAGUAAACACGUAAGGAUUUAACUCACCCAACAAUCAUCUGCUGCCACUGCAAUCAGGAUUUUUAUGAACAGUGAAGUGUUAAGAGGUAAUGCAUCCUACAUGAGCCGACGUAGAUACUUCUGCCCAAACUGAACGAGGAUCCUACUGUUUUAAAGAGAAACAGACAUAUAGCUUAUUCUGCUUGUGUUAACACAGGCAAUUAGAAAACAAGGCUUUGUCUUUUACUACAUACAGACUUCUAUUCCACUGUGGCCUAAAACAUCCGGUGGAGUUUCUAGAUUACAGAUAAAGCAGCUUAUUUGAAUCAUUACCUGAAAACUUUAACAAGUAUUACUCCAUUUGGGGUUUCCUCUUCCGCUCUGAAGGACUAACCUUUCUUAUUCUACAAAAUCCGGGAUCUGUGCUUCGACCACAUGAUACUGAGAAUCCCUGAAAUACUGAUCACCGGGCUGAGGAAGCCUGGAAAAAGGAGCCGGACCCGUAGAAACGACUGUAUCUGGUCUCUCUCAUUGGCAAAGCCAUGACACCUGUAUAAUGUUCAUAAGUUUAGAGAUGAUGAAGUAGCUGCUGUGUUUGGGGAAGUCGGCAGGGAGCUCCAGGUCCGACAUCAAGUCCAGAACGAAGUCUGAGCCCUCCAGCUCCACCCACUGGGCCGGCUCCUUCAGCAGCACCGACCAGCCUUGACGGCCCUCCACUACACCCCUAAACACAUACACAUACAAAAUACAAUAAUGCAGACAAAUACAAAUACAAAUUUAGUGCUCAUGUUUCCCAGUAAGAUGAUACCUGUGUUGUAAGAUGUCGUUGGCCAUCUCUUCUCCAGUUGUCCAGGAGUGCAGAGGACAGAGGAGGGACAAACCUAAAGGGCAGAGAACACACUGCAAAUAUUAAAAUGAUGUGUGUUCUUUCAUCUUGAAAGGCAUUAACAAUGAAAUCAGUUUCAGCUGUAUCUCUGAAACAAAGUCGGCGCCUCCUUUCCCGGACUGUCUGUGAAGAUUCUCACAGACACCGGCACCAACGGACACAAACACAGCUCGUGACCCGGAGCGGGUAUCAGAUGUUGUCUAAUCCUCGGUGGACACAGAGGACAGAUUAGCUGGAUGAGAGGAAAGAAAUGAGAGAGAGACAGAAACUCUGCUGUGCUGGGCUCAGGUUCAGAGGUGAGGCUGGGUCAACGAGCGGGAGUCAAAGGGAGUCAAUAUAAAUGGAAGAAUGGAGUCCUCUGACUUGGACAUUUAUUAAAGCUUUCCACAGUGA